rnacentral:rRNA from 1 species
CCCUUAGAUGUUCUGGGCCGCACGCGUGCUACACUGACCGGCGCAACAAGCUUCUUCCCUUGGCCGACAGGCCUGGGUAAUCUUCGAACGCCGGUCGUGAUGGGGAUAGAUCCUUGCAAUUUUUGAUCUUCAACGAGGAAUUCCUAGUAAACGCGAGUCAUCAUCUCGCAUUGAUUACGUCCCUGCCCUUUGUACACACCGCCCGUCGCACCUACCGAUUGAAUGGUCCGGUGAAGCCUCCGGAUUGGCGCGCACCUCGGUGCCGCCGAGAAGUUGGCUAAACCUUACCAUUUAGAGGAAGGUGAAGUCGUAACA